rnacentral:rRNA from 1 species
AUUGAACGCUGGCGGCAGGCCUAACACAUGCAAGUCGAACGGUAACAGGAAGAAGCUUGCUUCUUUGCUGACGAGUGGCGGACGGGUGAGUAAUGUCUGGGAAACUGCCUGAUGGAGGGGGAUAACUACUGGAAACGGUAGCUAAUACCGCAUAACGUCGCAAGACCAAAGAGGGGGACCUUCGGGCCUCUUGCCAUCGGAUGUGCCCAGGUGGGAUUAGCUAGUAGGUGGGGUAACGGCUCACCUAGGCGACGAUCCCUAGCUGGUCUGAGAGGAUGACAGGCCACACGGGAAGUGAGACACGGUCCAGACUCCUACGAGAGGCAGCAGUGGGGAAUAUGGCACAAUGGGCGCAAGCCUGAUGCAGCCAUGCCGCGUGUAUGAAGAAGGCCUUCGGGUUGUAAAGUACUUUCAGCGGGGAGGAAGGGAGUAAAGUUAAUACCUUUGCUCAUUGACGUUACCCGCAGAAGAAGCACCGGCUAACUCCGUG